rnacentral:rRNA from 1 species
UACGUAGGUGGCGAGCGUUGUCCGGAUUUACUGGGCGUAAAGAGCGCGCAGGCGGUCGUCCAAGUCGCGUGUGAAAGCCCCCGGCUCAACUGGGGAGGGUCACGCGAUACUGAUCGACUCGAAGGCAGGAGAGGGAAGCGGAAUUCCCGGUGUAGUGGUGAAAUGCGUAGAUAUCGGGAGGAACACCAGUGGCGAAGGCGGCUUCCUGGCCUGUUCUUGACGCUGAGGCGCGAAAGCGUGGGGAGCGAACAGG